UACGGAGGGUGCAAGCGUUGUCCGGAAUCACUGGGCGUAAAGGGCGCGUAGGCGGUUUGUCGCGUCUGCCGUGAAAGUCCGGGGCUCAACUCCGGAUCUGCGGUGGGUACGGGCAGACUAGAGUGAUGUAGGGGAGACUGGAAUUCCUGGUGUAGCGGUGAAAUGCGCAGAUAUCAGGAGGAACACCGGUGGCGAAGGCGGGUUUCUGGGCCGUAACUGACGCUGAGGAGCGAAAGCAUGGGGAGCGAACAGG
rnacentral:rRNA from 1 species